GCACUGGCCACAGGCCCAUUGCUGCUGGACUUGGCAGAGCCGCCGGCAGCUCCUGACUUGCUGAUGCUGGCCAGGGCCUGACGGGCCUUCUCCCACUCCGGGUUCUCGUGCAUCGGCGUCUCCAUGCCAUUCUCUCGGCCUGCCCCAGCCACCAUGCUGUACUGAGAAGACAAUCUGUGCUACGUUGAUCACCCACGUUGGCCGCCAUCUGGACCUUGGGGUAUAAGGGGUGGACCUCGGGAGCCAGACUGCUUUUUCACUGCUGGCCGUCCCGCAGGCUGGGCGAAGGCAAAGGAGGACGCCGGGUGGAGGAGGCCGCUCGGAUCCCCACGACUAGCCACGGAGCCACUGCCCAGGCCGCGCCUGCGCACCACGCCCCAGAAAGACGCGCAGGA
rnacentral:lncRNA from 1 species